GGAGGGUACAGCUCGGCGGUAGAGCACGUGCUUAGCCUGCACGAGGUCCUGGGUUCAAACCCCAGCACCUCCA
rnacentral:tRNA from 1 species